rnacentral:lncRNA from 1 species
ACUCAACCAUUUGAGCCCUUUUGAUCUUCCUUCAUCUAGUCUUCCUUUCCUAGUCCACAGAUGGCUGCCUGGCUUCAGAGAUGGGGGUUUUCCCUUUUGAACCCGGGAGACUUCAAGGCCCAGCUGAGAUGUCCGGAUAUCCGGUGCCAUCCAAGAAGCCUGAACCCCCAGCGCCGCGGCUGAUCCUCCUUGCAGGUACUAUACUAAGCCCUGCAGCAGUGAUGGUGAACCUAUGGCACAGAUGCCAAAGAUGGCACACAGAGCACUCUCUAUGGCUCCUGUUCCAAGGACAGCCUGAGACAAUGACUGAGGAGCUCUGCACCAUCACCCAGCCGGAUUCCCGAUACUUCCAUUGACAGAGGCAUUAUCAACAAAGACAUUGAUUUAGAGUGAAUUAAGUAACCAAUUUCCAUUUUCAAGGCUCCAAUUCCAUUUUGGAAGCAGGAGAUAUUACCUAGUCUUCUGGUAGGUGAAAUCUGAUUGUGUUCUAAAGGGCACAAGAACUACUGGAGGGUACCCAGAGGUCUGAAACUUGUCUAGGAUCUCUUUCCUGUUGUUAAGUGGUUUGAGCAAGUCAAGGUGUAAUGGGAUGGCCAAUGUGGAAGUAGAGCAAAGAACUGGGGGUCAGUUGAACACACAGAUACAGACUUUCCUCCUAACCUUGAGAGACUUUGGAUAAACCACAUUCUUCUCUACAAUAAUAAUCAACAUUUUAUAGUGCUUUAAAGGCACUCUGUUUAACAUCAUUUUAUCUCUUUGGAGCCUUCUAGCAACCUAAUAAGGUAGAGAUUAUAGGUGUGGGUACUAUUAUGCCAGUUUUACAGGUAAAGGAAAACUGAAGACUAGACUGAUUCAAUGAUUUUCCCAUUUUCACAGAGGUGGAAUUUGAACCCAGGACAUCUUGAUUGCAAGUCUAGCAUGCUAUGUAUUUGUGAG